AGAAAAAGAAAGAAAAGAAAAAGAAAGAAAGAGAAAGAAAGAAAGAAAGAAAGAACUCUGGUCCGCUGGAGGCAAGUGUGAAUGUUGCAACUGGACGACUUGAUUAAUAAUAAUAAUAAUAAUAAUAAUAAUAAUAAUAAUAAUAAUAAUAAUAAGUUCAUUUGUAUCCCGCCUCCAUCUCCCCCGGAGGGGACUCGGGGCAGCUCACAGAAAUAUCAAAUACAAAACAAUAAUAUACAAUACAUCAAUAAACAAUAACAUGCACCAAUUGUAAUAUUUGCACAUUAACCAAAAAGAAUAAAAACACACUUAUUAAAAACACAGAAUUUAAAAACAGUGAGGUUGUAAUAGUAGAAUAGCAAAGUGCACAUCAUAACAUUGAAUGGCUUUGCAGCUUCAAAGCCUGGCUGGUUGCUGCCUUGGGGAAUCCUUUGUUGGGAGGCGUUAACUGGCCCUGAUCGUUUCCUGUCUGGAAUUCCACUGUUUUCACAGACAGGAAACAAUCAGGGCCAGCUAAGACCUCCCAACAAAGGAUUGGACUGGAUGGCCCGUGAGGUCCCUUCCAACUUUAUGACUCUAUGAUUUUAUGAUUCCCUCCUCCUGCAGGAAGCAGCUAGGCUUUGAAGCUGCAAGGCCAUUCAAUGCUAAUCAAGGAGGCCAAUGGCAACAUCCACACCUGCCCCCACCAGGCAAGAGUCCUUUCCUUCUCUGGACCUCCCUUGCCUGGUUUCCAGCAAACCUCACAAGAUGGGAGAUUUCCAGCCUGGAUCACUGAUUCCUGCACCUGCUUCGUCCACCUCAAGAGCCGGAGCUCACCUGUUGUUGGAGGCAAUUCCCAUUCAUUUGGCGCAGGAGACUCAAAGCAGCGAACCCUAAAAACACAUACAACCUGUAGAUUAAAAUCCAAAGCACGCAUGCAAACGUUCAAACAGAAUUAAGCAUUUAUCAGAAGAGCAUGCUGAAAACCAAUAAAACUGAUGAGAAAUGCUGGUGAACAGCCAUUGUGUCCAUUUCCUCCUCGAUUUCCGCCGACUUCCUUUGUCUUGAUGGCUGGCCCUCUCAAUUGCUUCCCUCUAAACUGAUUUUCUGCCCUAAAAAAACCCUCCGUUUUGAACGGCCGGCUGAAGGGAUUCGUCAACGUCCAUCUCAUUACACCAGAAGGCUGAUGGUCUACGAGUAAUUAAUUUAGGCAUAUUAAUGGCAAGAGGAAAACGUGGGAGGAGGAGGAGGAGGAAGAACCGGAUCCUGCAAAACUUGUCCCUGUCAGGGAUGCAAAGUCUGGAUCCCAAGGGGCGUCAAACCGCAUUAACUCUGCAGUGUGGAUGAGCCUUUGCACGACAGAAGAAACCCCAAUGACUUUCCCAAUGGGCAGUCAUCCAAAACCUCUCCUAACAAGGUAAUUGAGCCUUGAAAGUUAAUAUAUUAUCUGUGUUGAUUCAUUGUUUACCAUGCAAAGUGCUUUUUUUCAUGUCAGGAAUGACUAGAGGAACUUCUGGUGUGAGAGAAUUGGCCGUCUGCAAGGAUGUUGCCCAGGGGACGCUGCCUGGAUGUUUUGAUGUUUUGACCAUCUUUGUGGGAGACUUCUCUCAUGUCCCUGCAUGGAGCUGGAGCUGACGGAUGGGAGCUCAUCCACGUUCUCCCCAGGAUGGAUUCGAACUGGCAACUUUCAGGUCAGCAGUUUAACCCACUGUGUCACUGGGGGCCCCGUCCAAAGGGCUGAAUCCUAAUAAGUUUAUUGCUUUGGAUGCAUGCCUUUGAAGGCUUGGUCCAAUACCCGGAGUGGAUUCACUGCUCCAUUGACAUGGAAGCUCCUGCCAAAUAAUGAAUUAUAUAUAUGAGGGUUAUCCAGAAAGUAGAUUACGUUUUGGAAUUAAAAAUGAAGAAAGUAUAGGAGAAAACAUUUACCAUAUGCAGUUGAAAGCUACACCCAAAUAUCACUUCUCAACACAGUCGCCAUUCAAAUCUAGGCAUUUAUCAUAGCGAUGAAUGAGCUAGGCAACUCCUUCCCCACAAAACUCUGCCGCUUGCGCCUUCAAAACGUAUAGGAGAAAACAUUUACCAUAUGCAGUUGAAAGCCACACCCAAAUACCACUUCUCAACAUAGUCACCAUUCAAAUCUAGGCACUUAUCAUAGCGAUUAAUGAGCUAGGCAACUCCUUCCCCACAAAACUCUGCCGCUUGCGCCUUCAAAACGUAUAGGAGAAAACAUUUACCAUAUGCAGUUGAAAGCCACACCCAAAUACC